rnacentral:rRNA from 1 species
AUUGACCUCGGAUCAGGUGAGGAUACCCGCUGAAUU